rnacentral:lncRNA from 1 species
AUCGGAAAGCUUCCUCCUUGCUGGAAGAACUCGUCCAGACCAGGGACGCACACAGACUCGUACAGGUUGGACGGGACGUUCUCCAGCGAUGCGCACUCCUUCUCCACGUCUGCGACAGAGGAAAUAUUCUCCUGGCCUGCUGUCGGUGGUGCGGAGAAUAACGACCCUGAAACGAAGCCACCAGGUCGAGUGGAAGAAAGAGAGGGGAGAAACCAGCCUCGCAGCACGGCCGCCAACAACGCCACGGUGCCUACCGCGCCAUGUAGUACUGCUUCCCACCUCGCAAACCGAAGUUGCGAAUGCACCGCGACCGAGGCGUCAUAAAUAAAGCGGAGGGCGAUGGCAACCCGCUGUCAGUCACUUUGUU